UACGUAGGGGGCAAGCGUUGUCCGGAAUCAUUGGGCGUAAAGCGCGCGUAGGCGGCCCUGUAAGUCCGUUGUGAAAGUCAAAGGCUCAACCUUUGAAAGCCGAUGGAUACUGCAGGGCUAGAGUUCGGAAGAGGCGAGUGGAAUUCCUGGUGUAGCGGUGGAAUGCGCAGAUAUCAGGAAGAACACCCGUGGCGAAGGCGGUUCUCUGGGACGGUACUGACGCUGAGACGCGAAAGCGUGGGGAGCGAACAGG
rnacentral:rRNA from 1 species